GAGACUUCAGACCUGUUGAAUUACUGUGAUCAAAUUACGAGCUGUGGAUACACUGGCCCUAUAAAUGACCAAAACAAGGAGAAUAUAAAGAGGGCAAUUGCAAUGCAUGCCGCUGCUCGAAGAACUCUAAUGCUUCAGCAGCUCCGUGAGGGCCUUCAACUUUAGCGUCUAGUGGACAUCAUGGAGAAGAACAAAGAAGUGUGCCGUGGCCUCUUUGUUUUUGAAGGUGGCAAUGAUCAGGUGGACUCUCAUUACAUUGUGUCACAUCUUGACCCACAAAUGAGUGAGAGUGGCACUUUAAAGCACAGCAAAGAAAUGCAAAUCUUGAAUCACUUCCAAGAUUUUUUAAUGGAACUUGAAGGUACUUCACUUCUGGGGACUCACUGGUCAGCCUAGCUUUCAGCUAUCGCCUUGGUCACAGAACUGUAGUCAACUCUGUCCAUAUGGUGUGUGCAGCCAUUGAAAAAUUCAUGAUGGGGAGGUUCCUACCCAGGCCAACACAAGACACUUGGAGGGAGGUGGCACAAGGUUUCUGGGACAAAUUGAAUUUUCCAAACUGCCUGGGUGCAAUAGAUGGAAAGCAUGUAGUCAUACAACCACCACCACGAUCUGGAAGUCAGUACUUCAACUACAAGAAUACUUUUUCCAUCGUGCUUUUGGCGCUUGUAGAUGCUGACUACAGGUUUCGAGUAAUUCAAGUAGGAGACUUUGGAAGAACCAGCGAUGGUGGGGUCUAUGCUGGAUCUGAUUUGGGGAGAGGAAUGGAAUCAAGAACACUUCAUGUGCCACCCAGUACCUCUCUGCCUGGUGCUGCUCAGCUUGGAGAUAUGCCAUUUGUCAUGGUGUGUGAUGCAGCUUUCCCACUCAAGCCAUACCUGAUGAGACCAUCACCUGGACACAACCUCACUCAUCAGAAGAGGAUUUUUAAUUACAGACUCUCAAGAGCUAGGAUGGUGGUGGAAAACGCCUUUGGGAUUCUUGCCUCCAGGUGGAGAAUAUUUCAUCGCAGAAAUUAACCUGCACCCUAGAAAUGUGGACACAGUUGUGGUGGCAUCAUGCAUCCUUCACAACUUCCUGCUUUCCCCCAGUGAAAACCAGAGGUUGCUGGAUGAGGAAGAGCAGCUUGGGAGACACAUGGCUCCAGUGAGGAAUAUGUGAGGAAACCGGGCAUCAAGAGACGUCUGUAAUGUCAGGGAGAUUUUCUGCACCUUCUUCAACUCGCCCGAAGGCAGUGUGUCUUGGCAAGACAGGAUGGUGUAAUAAAAUGACCAAGUGUCUUAAUGUGGCCCAAAAGAAUUUGUCCAUAUCAUAUUCAUUUGUAAAUAGCUUUGUUGUAUUUUUGCUAUUUCUUUCAAUACUCACACAGAAGUUGUUUUUUUAA